CCCGGCAAUGAAUUGCCGUGCUAUUUUCAUGCGUCCCUGCGGGACU
rnacentral:sRNA from 1 species